CGGCUCUGAAACUCUACACACUGAUCUGUUUAAAGUUUGUGAUGGGGGGCCUCAUGUUAGCAGGAAACCUACAGAGCAGGACAUGCAAACACUAUUUGUUCAGCUACAAUUUAGUUCUUUCAGCAAAGAAUAUUCAGGUGUUUUAGUGUCAAAUAACACACCAGGUAAAUGCAAACAGCACUUUUGUUCUGAUAAGUAAGUAGAACAUCAGUCAUGUUCAUUUUUGGCAGCUCUUCCAAACACUGAGUGUAUAAAAGAGCCGUGGCCACCUAACCUUAGCAUGCAGCUAGCUAAGUUCGCUCAGGGUAAUUUAUAUAGGGCUCAAACCAGCAGAUGUUGAUCUUAUCUUUGCAUAAAUAUCAGAAACGACGGAGAGGACUCACCUGGCUCUAUCCAAAGCUCUGCAUCCUUUGUGGGCUAAAGCCUUCUGCAAAAGAAAAUGUGUGCGAGCACUUUUCCUGGGCGGGGGGGUGCUUGCUCUCUCCAUCAUAUCCUUGGAAGUUUCCGAUGGUGGUCGCCAGACAGAUUACAGGGAUAACGUCCGGAUGUUUUCGGCAUCACGACGGGGGACAGAGGAGUCCUCCCUGGAGGUGUAAUUAGCAAACAAAAGCCUGUGAUGCCGUCUUGGUCCUCCCUUCAUCUUUUAGCCGGCAGCUAAAACACAGCAGCACAUGUUUACCUCCGAGCUGUUGGGAAAUGUCUGGCUCUGUAAUUACACUGCUGGCUGGAAUGCAAUCGACGUUUCCUGAGUAACACCGUUGUUUCUGUGCAACACAGACAUUUAAGAAUUAACCUGCCACAUACGUUUCUGAAAUCCGAGCGGAACGUUUGGCAGGUUGUUAAAUAUAUUAUUAAUACACUGGAUCCAAGCGGACAGAUGCUGAUUAAAAGAGAAUGUGCGAGGAAGGUGCCAAUCCUCUGCUUGUGACGAUUCAGCCCUCUUUACUGCCUUUCGUGGCAGAUUCGGCACAGGACUGACUGGUUGCUGGUUUUCAUUGGAGAGACGGGGGCCAGACACAAAGUGGAGGUGGAUUUUAUAUGAUACUCAUAAGGAACACAUUACGGGGGGUGUCCUGGAGGACCUGACUUCUGGGGCACAUCAUGACUUUCUGCACACUGGUGCCCCACUGCACACAGCUGGUGCCCUUUUUUGUUUGGCUUCUCGCCCCUCAAACACGCUGAGUCCACCACCGCUUAAAAUGUCACUUAUAUUCUGUCAAGAUGAUUCUUAAUGGCCUUCUCAGUGAUUCCCCCAGUGCUCAGCGGCCACUUUAACCAAUGGAACUUCUCUCUUCCGGCCUAAGUAUCUGACUCUCAUGGAUGUGUACACUGUGUCGUCGGAGGAGGUCCAGAGGUCAAAGGGUCAGAUAGCGGAGCCAAUGAUGACAAAACCAAGUAUCUCACUGUGGCGCUGGACAGCUCACGGUCUAAUCCAAAAUAGAUAAAAAUGAUUAUAAACUGUUCCUGUUGAGAUCCUGAUGGAGGAGGUGACUGGACUUUACUCGCUAUACAUCUCAAGCGAGCAGGAGUGAGUGAUGCUGGAGCUCUGGCAUUUGUGCGUGAAAACGAACAUUUUGCUUUGCCAAAGACAUCUCCACAUCACAUGCCGAACAUUACUUACCCCGUUGUUUCCCACAUUCACAGACAUCGAAGCAUUUCAUUUCCUUUCGCAAUCUGUUAUUGUCAAAUCUCAUGACACAUGAACUUUUGGCCAUUCGUUCCAAUAAAAGAGAGGCAGCCCUG